rnacentral:lncRNA from 10 species
AAACGACUUGGGAAGGCCCUUUCGGGGAAGCCCAGAAGAAAAUGACACCAGAGAGGCUGAAGAGCAGAGCAGAGAUUUCACAGUGGCUGUAGCAGUACUACUGGAGAAAAAGAAUAAGCAAAGACGGAAGAAUUGGGAAAAGAGAGAAUGGGUUUUAAGCCCUGCCAAGGUGGAGGGUGGUGGAGGCCAAAAGAAUGAGGGUCGUGAUCAACUCAGUAUACGACUGGAGGCUAUAUGAGUAAACAGCAAGCUGUUCUCAUGAAUGCAGGAUGUUGGCAAGCUGACAACUAUGUCGGCACCCAGAAGGAAUGCUGAGGGCAGUCACGCCCCAGGCACAGUGUUUCUUGUGGUUAGGCACAUCUGAGGCCUGUUAGCAAUGAUGUGAACCCGUGAUCAAUCAAACAGCUGACCAAUCGUUACCUCCUCCUCCCUGCUCUUUCUACCCAAUAAAUACGAAGGGCUGUAGAAGCUCAGGGCUGCAGAAGCUCAGGGCUGCCUUUGCUCACUAGAAGCAAGGAGUCCCCUGACCCGUUCUUUAAAACAAAUCCUUUUUUUCUUUGUCUUCAUUUCUGUGUUCGUCCUACUUCGUUCAGUCCCGUAGUAACUGUCACAGGAGGGAAUUGGUAAACACUGUAGGCUUUCAGUUGAGACCCCUAAAAGACUGUGCUCAAUAGUAAGGAUCACAUUGUAGGAGUAAGGUCAGUGUCUUGGAAAUAGGGCAAAACUGAAAUAAAUCAGCCCUGAGAAAGCCCAAAGCUAGCAAUAGCAAACUAUUUUCCAAAGAUGGCCACAAUACUAUGACUCCUGUCUUACAUGUGCUUCUAGAAUCUUGUCAUUGCCUCAUCAAAAGAUAAGUCUAUAUUUCUUUCUCUUGAACCUGGGUAUCCCUUUGUGAUUGCUUCAAUAGAGUAUGGCAGGAGUAAGUAAAGAUGCCAUGUAUAUCCACUGCAUUCUCUUGGGAUGCUUGCUCCUGAAACUCAGCCACCAUACUAUGAGGAAGCCCAAGCAGCUUGUGAGAAGGAAGUGAGGCCUCCAGUGCCAGCUGGCCAGUCAUGUGAGUGACCAUCUUGAAAGUGGGCCCUCCAGCCUCCAGCUGAGCUGACCCAGAUGAUGUUGAGUAGAGAGGAAAAGAAUGAUUCCUGCUAAGUCCUACCCAAAUUGCAGAUUCAUUAAUAAAAUAUUAUUUUUCAGUUUUGGGGGUUGUUUCUUAUGUAAUAAUAGAUAGCUAAAACAUCAAGUCUUGACAGGAUUAAGUGAUCUCCUAGUAUUCCAUUUGCCCUUCAGGAAAAAAAACCCAUCCCUUUGGGGAAAGAUAACAUUAUUCACAGCCUCUAUAAUUUUUCAUCCACAUGUCUGACAUCUAGUAAAAAUUACAUGCCAUGAUAAAAGUAGGGCUGAGGAUAAACAAGAGGAAAACAAAUGACAACAAAAAUACACCCAGGUGGUUCAGAUAUUGGAAUAUCAGACUGGGAUUUUAAAAGUAAUUAUAACCACUAUGUUCAAGAAAAUAGAAAGCUGGAGAAUUUCACCGGAGAGUUGGAAUUUAUAAAUAACAGUCCAAAGGGAAUACAACCACUUUGGAGAGCAAUUCUGUAAGAUCUAAAAAGAUUGAAGAAACACAUGCUGAUGACCCACAAUUCUGCUUCUAGAUGUCUACCUUAGAGCAACUCUCAGAAUUGUGCAAGGAGAUAUAUACAAAAUGUUGGCUGGAGCGCAGUUUGCAAUAGCCGAAAAGUGGAAACAGCCUAACUAUCCCUAUGCAGAGGAAUGGAUAAACUGUGGCUUAUUCAUGAGAUGGAACAUAGUAGAGCCUUCAAACAUGUGCUCAUGUAUCCGCAUGGAUAAAUCCCCCAACAUAAUGUUGUUUGAGGAAAAGCAUGUAAUGUGAGUCAUUCAUGAAAAGGUUUAAAACUCCGGAAACAGUACUAUACACACAUGUGAUUAAAAAGUACAAAAUAUGCAUGGAAAUAAUUAAAUCUAGUCUGUAUAAUAGUUACCUUUGGGGAGGGAGGAAGAAAGAAGGAUUGAGUGGGGCUUGAAGUGCAUCUGUAAUGUUUUAUUUCUAUUACGAAGAAAGAUAAACCUGAAGUAAAUAUUGCAAAAUGUUAACAUCUGUUGAAUCUUGUGAUCGUGUACAUGGUUGUCUGUACUCAUUUGUAUGCUGGGAAUAUUUCAUAAUUUUUAAAAAAGCAUGCCAAAAUAAGAUUUUUUUAAAUAAAG